rnacentral:rRNA from 1 species
CUGGUCUUGACAUCCACAGAACUUUCCAGAGAUGGAUUGGUGCCUUCGGGGACUGUGAGACAGGUGCUGCAUGGCUGUCGUCAGCUCGUGUUGUGAAAUGUUGGGUUAAGUCCCGCAACGAGCGCAACCCUUAUCUUUUGUUGCCAGCGGUCCGGCCGGGAACUCAAAGGAGACUGCCAGUGAUAAACUGGAGGAAGGUGGGGAUGACGUCAAGUCAUCAUGGCCCUUACGACCAGGGCUACACACGUGCUACAAUGGCGCAUACAAAGAGAAGCGACCUCGCGAGAGCAAGCGGACCUCAUAAAGUGCGUCGUAGUCCGGAUUGGAGUCUGCAACUCGACUCCAUGAAGUNGGAAUCGCUAGUAAUCGUGGAUCAGAAUNCCACGGUGAAUACGUUCCCGGGCCUUGNACACNCCGCCCGUCACACCAUGGGAGUGGGUUGCAAAAGAAGUAGGUAGCUUAACCUUCGGGAGGGCGCNUACCCCUUUGUGAUUCAUGACUGGGGUG